UGCAAUAACCUCAACUUUUUGGGCUAUGUUGCAAAACUUAAACUUUUGAGCUGAUUUUGUAAAAACACAAAAGUCCACUACUUCAUGUAAUCAGAACUAGAACCCAAAAAAUUUCAACAAAUUGAAAAACAUCAUUAAAGGAACAAAACAAUUUGUCCUUUAGCGUUUUUGGACCUAAAUGUAAAAACGUAAACUUUUGGGCCAAAGUGCAAAUACACAAAAGUAUCAAAACUUUAUGUAAUUGCAUAAAAGCCCCAAAAGUACCCUAUUUUAAUAGGGUGGCCGGUUUUAGAUAGAAGGGAGUGAUGUGUGUGUUGAUUUGUAGUUUUAGACAUAAAGCAUACAAGUGGUAUGUGUGAAAGGGAAUUAAUCCUUACACACCCACCAAUAUUUUUUACACCUUUCUAAAUAAAUAUCUAACACAUUUAAACAUUUGAAAAAUAUAAAACAUAAACUUUAAGAAAUAAAUCAAAACUUUGAAUCAAAACACCAAACUUUUUGUUCUUGGCAAAAAUGUCAAGAACAAUGAAGAACACUCAUGAAAAACUCAAAACAUUUCCAUGAACAUUUUUCACCCAAAAACAUCCCAAAACCAUUCAAACUUAAGGGAAAUAACAUAUAACCAAACUAGGGUACAUAGGGGUUCCAAAAGUUACUUGCAAACACUUUUAACAAGUCAAACAAGAACCCAAAAAUCCACCCUUUGGAUUUGGCCGAAAAUUCCCAAAAACGUGGCACCAAAUUUUAGCUCCAAUAUUUAUGCUCAUAUGAACUACAUCUACAACAUUUGAGAUGGCAAAUUUUCCAACAAAAUUUACAUUCAAAGAAACAAG
rnacentral:lncRNA from 1 species